rnacentral:tRNA from 1 species
GGGGAUUUGGCUCAGUGGUAGAGCGGUUGCCUAGCAAGCACAAGGCCCUGGGUUCGGUCCCCAGCUCCG